rnacentral:lncRNA from 1 species
UUCGCUUCAUUGGUAUGCGACAAUAACAAAAAACUAAUUUGCAUAUCUCCACUUUGCCCACCUAGCUCUAACUCCCCCAAUCCAAAAUCAAUCCAAACUAAAUUCUCUCAUAAAACCAUGAAAACAGUUUCCUUGAGGGGUGAACUUUAAAUUAUCAAGAAAGGAAAAGUGAUAAGUUUUUUCUUUCUUUUUCCCUUUUUUUGUUUAUGAUAAAAUGAUAUCAAGAAUAAUAGUAAGAACUGAAGGUUCCAUUCACUUUCCAGAAACCCAAA